GAUGAACGCUGGCGGCGUGCCUAAUACAUGCAAGUCGAGCGAACAGAUGAGGAGCUUGCUCCUCUGACGUUAGCGGCGGACGGGUGAGUAACACGUGGAUAACCUACCUAUAAGACUGGGAUAACUUCGUGAAACCGGAGCUAAUACCGGAUAAUAUAUUGAACCGCAUGGUUCAAUAGUGAAAGACGGUUUUGCUGUCACUUAUAGAUGGCUCCGCGCCGCAUUAGCUAGUUGGUAAGGUAACGGCUUACCAAGGCAACGAUGCGUAGCCGACCUGAGAGGGUGAUCGGCCACACUGGAACUGAGACACGGUCCAGACUCCUACGGGAGGCAGCAGUAGGGAAUCUUCCGCAAUGGGCGAAAGCCUGACGGAGCAACGCCGCGUGAGUGAUGAAGGUCUUCGGAUCGUAAAACUCUGUUAUUAGGGAAGAACAAAUGUGUAAGUAACUAUGCACGUCUUGACGGCACCUAAUCAGAAAGCCACGGCUAACUACGUG
rnacentral:rRNA from 1 species